rnacentral:rRNA from 1 species
UACGUAGGGUGCAAGCGUUAAUCGGAAUUACUGGGCGUAAAGCGUGCGCAGGCGGUUUUGUAAGUUUGUCGUGAAAGCCCCGGGCUCAACCUGGGAAUUGCGAUGAAGACUGCAAGGCUUGAAUCUGGCAGAGGGGGUAGAAUUCCACGUGUAGCAGGUGAAAUGCGUAGAGAUGUGGAGGAACACCGAUGGCGAAGGCAGCCCCCUGGGUCAAGAUUGACGCUCGAUGCACGAAAGCGUGGGGAGCAAACAGG